rnacentral:ribozyme from 1 species
UUUUUUUUUUUUUUUGUUGUUGUUUUUGUUUUUGUUUUUGCUUUUGGCCUUUUGGAAUUGGAGUUUCGAAGAGAAACACGGAAACGUUGAGGGUCUGAAAUG